GACGAACGCUGGCGGCGUGCUUGACACAUGCAAGUCGAACGGAAAGGCCUGCUUUCCCUUGUGGAUUGCGGGUACUCGAGUGGCGAACGGGUGAGUAACACGUGAGUGAUCUGCCCCCAACUUGGGUAUAAGCCUGGGAAACUGGGUCUAAUUCCCGAUAGGACUGCAGGGUGGUGCCUGUGGUGGAAAACGAUUUUCUAGUGGUUGGGGAUGAGCUCGCGGCCUAUCAGCUUGUUGGUGGGGUAAUGGCCUACCAAGGCGGCGACGGGUAGCCGGCCUGAGAGGGUGGACGGCCACAUUGGGACGGAGAUACGGCCCAGACUCCUACGGGAGGCAGCAGUGGGGAAUAUUGCACAAUGGGCGGAAGCCUGAUGCAGCGACGCCGCGUGGGGGAUGACGGCCUUCGGGUUGUAAACUCCUUUCGACCGCGAGGAAGCCACCUGGUUGGAAGGGUGGUGACGGUAGUGGUAGAAGAAGCACCGGCUAACUACGUG
rnacentral:rRNA from 1 species